ACACCUUCCCUCAGGUAGAGUACCCGGAAAGGAAUUAUCUUUACUAAGAGAAGAGAUAAAUGAAAGUGGUAUGUUCAACCAUGGGUAAACCACUUUGCAAAUCAACGUUGGUAUUGAGGUAGGGCUGUGGAGAGAUUUUUGCUUUUUGUUUUCCCACAUUGAGCUUUGAUCUUCAAAAAUAAGCACGCCCAUAUUUCUUUAUUUUGGCUUACCGACCUAUAUGGUAUAAAUAUUUGUUUUAAAUAGUAAUGGCCUCACAUCUGUGAUGAGCGCAGGCUCAAUCUGUAUUUUACUAAAUGAAAAAUGACGGAUUGAAGAAGCAAACCAGAAAAUCACAGCACUUGACAAGUCCAAAUUCUUCAGACAUCUACACCGCUGUAAUUAAAUGAUAUGUUCCAAUUGCUGUACGUACCUGACCAUUACAAAUAAGCAUUAAAUCAUUCAAUGGAUUAAUUAUUAAUGCAACUGCAACCUAUGCAUAUAUGACACAUGCAAAAUAAAUAAAUUCAUGAAAUAAAACAAGGGUGAAGAAAAUGAAGCCUAGACCUUAUGGUAUGAGUGAAUUUCAAUGAGUCAGUAAAUGAACCAAAACUCAUUUCUUCUUACUUUCCUAUCAGCUAAAUCUGGUGUCUUAAUCCUCUACUUUUAUUAUUGGGACACAAGAAACAGCAAAUUAGUGUGAGAUGUUUUUUUCUGGUUUUAUGUCUAUCUACAUGUGUAUGUAUGAUCAUGUAGCCCAGAAGCAUAUUGUUAACGCACACUUUAAACUUGCAAUGUUGUUAACGCACGCUUUAAACUUCUAAGCUUCUGAACGGACAUUUAUUGUAUUUUUUAUAAAUGCAUCCAACCGCACAAUUAGCACCAAUAAUAGGAUGCAAAGGAAACCAGAUCUGUUUCAGAUGUGCGAGAAAAAACCCAAAUGGAGAAAACCGAAGCAAUAAGGUAGGGACUGUUAGUCCCAAUCCAUAUUGCAAGGUAGGGACUGUUAAUCCCAAUCCAUAUUGCAAGGUAGGGACUGUUAAUCCCAAUCCAUAUUGCAAGGUAGGGACUGUUAAUCCCAAUCCAUAUUGCAAGGUAGGGACUGUUAAUCCCAAUCCAUAUUGCAAGGUAGGGACUGUUAAUCCCAAUCCAUAUUGCAAGGCUCUGAUCUGAGGUGGGACUGUUAAUCCCAAUCCAUAUUGCAAGGCUCUGAUCUGAGGUGGGACUGUUAAUCCCAAUCCAUAUUGCAAGGCUCUGAUCUGAGGUGGGACUGUUAAUCCCAAUCCAUAUUGCAAGGCUCUGAUCUGAGGUGGGACUGUUAAUCCCAAUCCAUAUUGCAAGGCUCUGAUCUGAGGUGGGACUGUUAAUCCCAAUCCAUAUUGCAAGGUAGGGACUGUUAAUCCCAAUCCAUAUUGCAAGGCUCUGAUCUGAGGUGGGACUGUUAAACCCAAUCCAUAUUGCAAGGCUCUGAUCUGAGGUGGGACUGUUAAUCCCAAUCCAUAUUGCAAGGUAGGGACUGUUAAUCCCAAUCCAUAUUGCAAGGCUCUGAUCUGAGGUGGGACUGUUAAUCCCAAUCCAUAUUGCAAGGCUCUGAUCUGAGGUGGGACUGUUAAUCCCAAUCCAUAUUGCAAGGCUCUGAUCUGAGGUGGGACUGUUAAUCCCAAUCCAUAUUGCAAGGCUCUGAUCUGAGGUGGGACUGUUAAUCCCAAUCCAUAUUGCAAGGUAGGGACUGUUAAUCCCAAUCCAUAUUGCAAGGCUCUGAUCUGAGGUGGGACUGUUAAUCCCAAUCCAUAUUGCAAGGUAGGGACUGUUAAUCCCAAUCCAUAUUGCAAGGCUCUGAUCUGAGGUGGGACUGUUAAUCCCAAUCCAUAUUGCAAGGUAGGGACUGUUAAUCCCAAUCCAUAUUGCAAGGCUCUGAUCUGAGGUGGGACUGUUAAUCCCAAUCCAUAUUGCAAGGUAGGGACUGUUAAUCCCAAUCCAUAUUGCAAGGCUCUGAUCUGAGGUGGGACUGUUAAUCCCAAUCCAUAUUGCAAGGCUCUGAUCUGAGGUGGGACUGUUAAUCCCAAUCCAUAUUGCAAGGCUCUGAUCUGAGGUGGGACUGUUAAUCCCAAUCCAUAUUGCAAGGCUCUGAUCUGAGGUGGGACUGUUAAUCCCAAUCCAUAUUGCAAGGUAGGGACUGUUAAUCCCAAUCCAUAUUGCAAGGCUCUGAUCUGAGGUGGGACUGUUAAUCCCAAUCCAUAUUGCAAGGCUCUGAUCUGAGGUGGGACUGUUAAUCCCAAUCCAUAUUGCAAGGCUCUGAUCUGAGGUGGGACUGUUAAUCCCAAUC